AUUUUCACCAAUCAAGCUUCAACUUUCGUUUUGAAGUUGCCAUAUGAGAUGUAAACAUUCCUUCUUUUAGUUGAGGUCGUCAUGUGAUCUAAUGACAUAUCACAGCUGAGGUGUAUAACAACACAACAGUGACAAGAUGGAUGGACAGUCAGGGAUCCGGGUAAAGGGGUUAGAUAAACAUUUGACAACUGAUAAGGACCUGAAGAUGUAUUUUAGAAAUCCAAAGAAUGGAGGUGGAGAUAUCCGCAAGAUUUACUACCCCCUCCUCGACAACGACGCUGUCAUUUUGUUUAAAAAUGAUGACAUUGUACAUAAUAUCCUGUCAAUACCCAAACAUUUGUUACACGGUACCUCUAUCAAGCUGAGUAGACUGCCUCCAAUGGUUUUCACAACAAUUGAAGCCAAGUUAGAACCAGAUAUUUCUUCGAUUGUUCUGGGUACUACUGAUAUCUAUGAUGAGCUUAAAUUUUAUGCUGAUGUGGAGAUCUGCUCUCAUGAAGAGGACAAUAGUUGCAGCCUGAAGGGUGACUGGUAUCAGAUUGAACGUGCCUGGCAGAUCAUACACCUGGCAAUGGGAUACCAGAAGAAGAUCCAGUAUCGCCUUCAACAGCAACUUAGCACAGAAAAUGGUGAUGACAAGUCACGGGCGCGCUAUCGUCCUCAGGGAAAAUCUACUGAUUUAGAAGACGACAGUGAUGAUUCUGAUGAAGGAACCCCCCGAAACGGAUCGUCAGUGCCACAUCCUUAUUCUGCUGGUAGGAAAAUGCAAGACUCCCAGUAUAGUGUUGUGGGAGCGAGCGUUACAGACAGCAUUAUAUCCUCGACACCGUUUGAGGAUGACAUCGCAGAGGAAGUUCGAGGAAUGGGGCAGAAAAAAUCAGCAGCAGCAACAAAAUCAUCAUCAGCAGCAAAUACUCCUUAUGUACAAGGCGACAGUGAAGAAAUGUACACAUCACAUAAGUACAACCAACGGAAGGUAGGCGAUAAGAGAGGUAAGAGUUUCAAGUCAAAGACAAAUGAGGAAAGCCACUCUAGUUACAGUUCAAAGUCAGACAAGGGACAUCACUCUGGUCAAAGGUCUGAGGGAGACAAGGGAGGUUACUCUAGUUACAGGUCGGAGGCAGACAGAGGUACUGGACACACUUCCCAUUCAGCACAUCGGCAUCUAGCAUCUCCGUCAGAUGAUUAUUCCAGAAACUAUUCUUCACUGCAAGGAACAACUUAUGAUCACCUAUUCCCAAGGGUAGAAAUAGUAUCUCCUUCCCACCAAACAGACACCAGAGCAACAGGUGAGGAAGUGGGAGGCAGAGGAAGUAAAACGUAUACAGUUCCAAGGCACCAGUCUAGAUCUUUGUUGGAUGAUGUACAAAUGAAUUCUGACGACUCGGAAACAGAAGUGAUGAGUAUAAGCUACCAAAAACACAGACAACAAGAUCAAAAUGACACUUUUAAGCACUUUUCUUCACAAAUCAGUGUUACAGAACAUUCAGAUUCUGUUGCAAAGAGCUCAUCGCGGAGAGGAAGCAAUGACUCUGACACCCGACUGAGGCAGGCUCACAAUUAUAACACUGUCAAUGGGACUGGUUCUCAUGCCAGAGAUACAAAUGACAUGUUGAAUAGUGCCAGAUCUCAAGGAACAGUCGAUGUGGAUAAUCGGUUCAGUAGCUUACCUGUCAUGUCAUCACAGCAUGAUGUUUACAAUGGUGCGACACCUGGUCACUCAAGUUCAAGGCUGUCUGAAUCAGACGAAUAUAAAAAGUCAUAUGGAGAAGGUUUUACAGCUUCCUCUACAGACUUGGACUUAGAGAAAGCGAUUUCUGCCUCGUUGAAGUCUAGCGGUCCUGUUGAGGAUUAUUCUGUUGUGGACUCUUAUGAGUUUUAUGUUGGGUACAUCAAAGUGGUAAUAUUCAGGGGCAACAUUACUGAGGUGAAAACCUCAGGCAUUGUUAAUGCAGCCAAUGGCUACCUCGCUCAUGGGGCAGGCAUAGCAGGAGCUAUCGCCAUGGCAGCAGGUCCCAGCAUGCAACAGGAAUGUGAAGAAUUGAAAAGAAAAUAUGGAGCCUUGGAGACUACAACAGUUGUACACACACAAGCUGGUGGCAGACUUAACCGUGAGGUGAACUAUAUCCUCCAUGCUGUGGGACCUAUCUGGAUCGAGGCUAUCAAAGGGAGGUGCACAUUUGAGCUGAUUCUCACAUACCUAAACUGCUUCCGAUAUGCUGAGAAAAUCUGGUUGGACUCCGUAUCAUUGCCUUGUAUAAGUGCAGGGAUUUUUGGCUGUCCGCUGGAUGUGUCCAUUCAGAGUUUUCUGGAUGGCCUGUUGAUAUUUCACAGUGAAAGUGGAGAAAGCUGCCAUUUACGGGAGGUCCAUCUAGUUAACAAUGAUCUUGAUGGAGUGGUCACUUCCAUUGUUCUCAUCAAGUCCCUGUUAGACAAUGGUCUUGACAGUGCAAUAGCUCAGUCACUUGAUCGUUAUGGGACUCUGUCCAAGACUCAUGGUGGGGCAAUCCGCAACACAAAAACAUUGAGACCAAGUUCUAGGCAGCUGUCAAAGGAUGAUGAUAUUAUCGGGGCUAGAAGUAGUUCAGAUGCAAAACGGCUUCCUGCAAGAAGAUCAAGCUCCCUCCAGAGGACAGAUCGCAAAUCGUCUGGUUUUUCUAGCUCAGGAUCUACUAGUGGUCGCAGCGUGAUAGGGGCAAGUAACUCAUCUGCAUUUAAAAGUAUUGCUAGUGACAGAGUUACAGAGCCAAGCUCACGUCAGUCUUUGAGGGAUAAAACUUCAGUAAGAGGCAGAAGUGAGGAAAGACCAUUGUCUUCACGAUCACGAGAGCCAGUUACAUCCAGUGGGAAGUACGAGUCUCCAAGGAGUGGAAGUUCAGUAAGUUCAAGAUCAAAGGCACUUGGCAGUGAUUCUUCGGAAAUUCGCCCAAGGUCAAGUAGCGGUAGCAAGAAGAAGGUCAGUGAACAAAUACUGGCUUCUCAAGGUAGCUCCGCAGCCUUGUCAAGUCCUCGUGGCAUGGGCUCGUCCAGAGCUCCUCCACAGAUGAAACAGGCUUUGGUUGGCACGUCAAAUGGAGCAAGGCUAAAACAGACGAGUCUCAGGACUGGGAAGGCCACACCAGUCAAGGCCACAACAUUACGACAAGACAGCAGUACGAAGUUUAGGGAGAGUGAGAGAGGGACAGGUUCCAGGGUAUACAAAGCAGGCACUAGAGAGUACAACAGGGGUGCGUAUUUGGACGGCUCACAAAGUCUGCCGAUGGGUAUUGAUUCUCCUCACUACUCGUCCUCACGGCUGAGAGGGAACAGUCCGCGGAGGUACACAGAUCAUAAAUACUGAGGUUGUAUUACAGUAUCUCUUCAUAGAAAGCAGUUUCCACAUGCCAGCUUUAUAUAUAAAUUUACCUGUUUAAGAUUUUCAAGUAGUGCUUGUAGGUUUUUUUCACAUAAUUUUAGAUUUGACAUAACAAUUUAUUUAAAUUUGACUAUUUUCAUUGUUCAGUUUUUAUUUUAUUUUCUGCAGGUAUAUAUUUUGUCAUUUUAUAUUUAUGAAAUUGUGCCAUAUAUUAUACUACACAGAUAUGAUGAUUCUAUUAAACUAUUUUGCACAAGUCACUAAUUUUAGAUUAUUAGAAGAUUUAACACAUGAUGAAAAUAAUCUGUGAUUUUACCAAGUAACAAUACAUCAUACUACAUGUAUCAGAGUAUCAGUGCUACCCAAACUGUGGAUAACAUAAGCAAUACCGUAGAGUGCUUGACUGAAAAUAGUUUCGUUAAUUGUUUUGUUUUUUUGGAUAACUCUCCUUUCACACAGAAUCUCAGUAAAAUCUGAACUCAAUGUUAUAUUGACCCGGGACGUUUUGCCUGUCGAUAUAAAGCACAUACUAUUCGAUUCAGUGUGUAUACUCUCUCUAUCGAUAGGCGGGACAUCCUUAAUUCCCAGUUAGAGGAACAUAAAAAACAUACAAUUUUGUCACAUAAUGACAUUGUUGUACCGUUAAAAAAUACAAAUCGCUCGCUCAGUAUUCGCUUAACAAAGGGAGCAGUUGGUCCUGAAAUGUUACGACAUGUUUAACACGUACAUUGUUUGUGUAGAAAGUAAAACUUUGAUAUUACAUAUUUCCAAAUUGAUGAAUCUUAUGGAAGAUAUGAACACACGUCAUCAAGAAUACACUAAGAUGGCACACAGACUCUACUUGGUAUCAGACAUCUGAAGUCAGCGGUUUCUUCAAGAGAUUUCUCAAUGAUUUAACAUUGCGACCGAUUUUCUCAUCUUUAGGAUGGUUACUUACAAGUGGGAUUCUCAACUUUUUUUUUUUUAAAUUGGAUAGUUAGUCUAAAUAUUUUAUUUUAAGGUGUAUGAUAUUUAUGAUAGACUUACAUAGAAUUUAGUCUCUUGUAAUCAUCUUAUAUAGGUAUAGAUCUAAUGUUAUUUGGGAUAGAUCAGACUUACAUAGAAUUUAGUCUCUGGUAAUCAUCAUAUAUAGGUAUAGAUCUAAUGUUAUUUGUGAUAGAUCAGACUUACAUAGAAUUUAGUCUCUGGUAAUCAUCAUAUAUAGGUAUAGAUCUAAUGUUAUUUGUGAUAGAUCAGACUUACAUAGAAUUUAGUCUCUGGUAAUCAUCAUAUAUAGGUAUAGAUCUAAUGUUAUUUGUGAUAGAUCAGACUUACAUAGAAUUUAGUCUCUGGUAAUCAUCAUAUAUAGGUAUAGAUCUAAUGUUAUUUGUGAUAGAUCAGACUUACAUAGAAUUUAGUCUCUGGUAAUCAUCAUAUAUAGGUAUAGAUCUAAUGUUAUUUGUGAUAGAUCAGACUUACAUAGAAUUUAGUCUCUGGUAAUCAUCAUAUAUAGGUAUAGAUCUAAUGUUAUUUGUGAUAGAUCUAUGAAAAUUUUCUGAAAUGGUUUGAUCAUCAUCCAUGUAGUAUUUUUCGCACACUGACUAUGAAAGUAACGGAUUUUGUUUGCUUUCUAACUUAAACAUAUUAUAAAUAUAUGUGAUUGUUUUAUUUCAUUUAUAUCAUGAAAUAACUUGAAACUAACAAGAACAGUAUAUAACACAUCAAACGGUAGAGCACCAUUCAGCAUUGUUUUGGUAUGUGUAUUUUUUAGUUCUCUAGAUAAUAAUUGGUUAUAUUUUUAUGAUGUUACGGAUCUAGAACUCAUAAGGUUUGAUUUGUUUAUAUUUUCACAUCAUGACCAUAAUUUUUAUAACCCGUAAAUGUUAUACAAAUGCAAAUAUUAGAAUAUCAGAUGAUACAUGCCCUUUAUGCCCUUUGCUAUUCCCUCAUUUUUUAUACAAAUGCAAGUAUUAGGACAUCAGAUGAUACAGGCCCUUUAUGCCCUUUGUAUAUUCACUCACAAAACUUGUACUUAUACGUGUACAUUGUAUUGGUUGCUUCUGUUUACAGUUUUUACUUUUUGAAUGCAUUGUAAGUUGACUUUGACCAACAUCAGUGAACCUAAAUGUGAGUAAGUGUAUUUCAUAGUACAAUCAAGGGUUUAACUCUGGAAAAAAAAAAUCAAAUUUAAAUUUUAAUAUUUUUGAAAAUAUACAAGAUGACACAAUUUGCUUCAUCUUCUUAAGCUAAUGCACCAUUGAGUAAUUUGGCCGCAGAGUAAGUUAAAAGGAGGCUGUCGUCAAUCUCAUUACAGCAUGGUCUUGCCAAGGCCAAACUUAACAAAGGUAUGGUUUGGGUCCUUCUGCUGAAGACUGCCUUUUAAAGGACAAAGAAUAACACCCUAUCCUUGCUACAGGUGUUAUAACUAACUGACAUAACAAUAUACAUGAUGUAUGACAUAUCAGCUGAGAUGUAUAUGUUACUAACUAUAUAUUUUAUAAUGCACUCUAGUUUAUCCGUAUGCCAAUUUAAUUUUUUAAAUGCUUAAAUGGCAGAUUAUUUCAAAUUAUAUAAUAUUUUCAGUUUUCAUAGUUAUGAUCACCAGGUUUUGAAGUCGACAUGCAUACAGCUUAGAGAUGUGUUUAAUGUCUGUGAAUAUAUUUAUAUUUGAUGUGGACAAUUUUCCGUGAUUAAUUUGUAUACUGUUAAGAAGUAUACUACUUUGUGUAUAAAGUAUAUAGGUAUGACUCCUAUCUGUAGAUAUGUAUGUAGAAAGUGUAGACAUUUGGACACACAGAUACAGGUAAACACAUGUGUCACUUACAUAAAGGUAUCUUUAGGUAAGAUCCAUAACUCUGGAAUACAGGUAUGUUCAGAUAAACACCUGCAAUUCUGACAUAUAGAUACAGGUAAACACAUGUGUCAUUAACAUAAAGGUAUCUUUAGGUAACAUCCAUAACUCUGGAAUACAGGUAUGUUCAGGUAAGUACUUGUGAUUUUACAGUUAAAGAUAAGCAUGAGAAUAUUUGAGUUGGUUUAACACAUACUUUAAGUAAUUUAAUUAUCUCAUUGUCCACAAACCACAAUGGUAAAAGAUUGUGUGAUGUCUGGUUUAUGGGGUACCAGGUAUUUUAGAUUAUUAGUAUGCAUGCUUUAUUGGGUAAUUUGAAUACAUGAUCCUGUAUAUUGAUUUUUAAAUUUGCAAAGGUUUCAAUUCAAACAUAUUUUAUUGACGCUGAAUAGUCGAAGGGAUUGGGCAAAAUUCUUACAACUUACUAGGCCCUCUCCGGUUACUGCAAAGAAUUUAAAUGAGUUUGAAUAGUGUACAUAUUUAAAGUGCCUUAAAGAUAAUUGUUUUUGAGAUAUUAUUUCUGAAUGUGAUUGUUUUGUACACACCAAGUUGUAUAUAUGAUAUGUUUUACAAUAAGUAUGUAUAUAUUCUGAACAUUUACAUGUUGGACAUUUUUAAAUGUAAAAAUAUUUGUCUUUAUCAACAGAUAAAUGUUUGGGUUUUGUUAUUGAUUUGAAAGGAUGUAAUUAUAGAUUAGUUUUUAAUAUUUGUUGUAUAAAAUGUAGAGCAAUUUUGACAUUGAAAAUUAGAUUAUAAAGACAGUGUAGUAUGUCUGUAGUAAAAUUAAUCAUAGAUAAUGUUAUUACAUUACAAUGGAAUCUUGUUAGUUAGGACACUGAAAGACUGCAGAGAGGUAAUUACAAAGUAUUAAAUUAUUAUUUGGAACAGGGGUGCAUGUACUCCUGAUCGUUCAGACUAACUUUGUUCGUUUGUGGUGUAUUCCAGAACCUCCACCUUUCCUUACCUGUCACUCACUACACAGACGAGUCAGUUACUCACUUAGUCUAUACAAGUGAGUCAGUCACUCACUACACAUUUGAGUCCAUCAUUCACUACACAGCUGAGUCAGUCAGUCAGUCACUAAACAGCUGAGUCUGUCACUCACUACACAGUUGAGGCACUCACUCACUACACAUUCAAGUCCAUCACUCACUACACAGGUGAGUCUGUCACUCACUACACAGGUGAGGUACUCACACACUACACAGAUGAGUCUGUCACUCACUACACAGGUGAGUGUCACUUACUACACAGGUGAGUCAGUCACUUACUACACAGGUGAGGCACUCAUGCACUACUCAUUUAAGUCAAUCAUUCACUUCACAGGUGAGUAAGACACUCAAUAUACAGGUGAGUCACUCGCUAGCUAUGACAUACAAUGUACCUGUACAGGUGAAUGAGUUGAUAUUCUCACAUGUUUCUGUUGAUUGAUGCAUAUUUAUUGGUUUAGAUAUAAUUUUGAUAAUUCACUGAAUCUGUUGUCUGUUAUGUACUGUGACCUCCAACUCUUAUUGAUGCCGUCCACGCCUCUUAUUUUUUGCAUUUUAAAGCCUUCAAUGAAAUUAGUUUCUGGUUUUACACCUUUGAGUGAUUAAUGACUAACAUAAGUAAAGGAAAAUUUGUGAUGAAAAUGUUAACACUAUAUUAGAAAAACCCACCUACCCCUGAUAUCACUAUAAGUAAAGCCUAGCUAUUACUAUAAUAGUGAUGUAGUUGCGUAAUUUAUUAAUUACAUUGAUCAUACAGUAUGGGACCAAUAUAGUUGUACUUCAAUCAGAUAGUUGUUUUGUUGCUAUGGUAACUAUAUAGAAGGUUAUAUUUUCUUCAUCCUUGAACAGGAUACCAACUCUAAAAACGGUGAGAACUCUGUAAAACAUUUACCUCAUGUACAUCUCCAUUAGGAAUUGGAAUACACCUCAUAUUCCUCCAGAAUUGGUUUAAAAGCAAAGUAUUUCUUAUAGAUGAGAAUGGUGUAACUUGAAUGUGUAAAAGCUCCAAUUGAAGGGGUGGGGAUGAGUGUUGGGAUGAUGGGGGUGGGGAUGAGUGUUGGGAUGAUGGGGGGGGGGAUGAGUGUUGGGAUGAUGGGGGUGGGGAUUUGUUUUGAAGGAUUCUAGGGGGGAAAUAAACAGGUGUUAAUUUGACCAUUUACAUCAACUCAUAAAAUAGGGGAUUAGUGACAGUAGUUGUUUCACACUGUGAAAGAUACUGUAAAACAUAUAGUCUAAAGAAAUUGUUUAAUCUUUAUGUUAUUUAGUAAUAUACAGCUUAGAAAAAUGUCAAAUACUAUAUUCAAUGUAAUAUUGUGUAGGUGAGGGAGAUUUUUGCUAUUUUAGAGCUCACAUAACUAAAUCAUUGCUUGAAUUGUUGUAUUCAUAUUGUUAAGAAUAUUCUAUAUGUCAUCCGGAUACAAGUAUAUCUCUCACAGACGUACGGUAUAUGUUUUUUCCACACUAUCUAUUUUAUCUGAUUUUCUUUCUUUGUUUAGUUGUUCUCAUAGCAUCUCAUCAGAAAUUAAAAAUUUAACCAUAGCUUUUUGUCGGAUGUUUUUUUUUUUUUUACAGAAAAUUAUAAAAUGUUACUGAAGUACGGUAACCAUUUUUUUUUUUUUGUAACUUUUUUUCAGAAGAUUUGGAUUAUGUUCGUUUUAGAGUAUUUGGGAAGUUAAACACUCUUUAAUUUGCAUGGAAAAGUAUCAUGAAAUAUGAGGAUUGACAGAAAAUACAAUACUGUACUGUUACCAUCCCCCUGAGGAACUAAUACAGUGAAAACGUUACUGCAAAAUGUAACAUAUUCUUUUGUCAAUUUAAUCAUUCCCCCCUGAAAUUUCAUAAUGGACCAUUCCAACCUUUGAAUUGGA
rnacentral:misc_RNA from 1 species